GCACUGCUGAAGAGUCCCAUACUUGGACGAAACAGCCGUCCAGUGC
rfam:Schistosoma margrebowiei strain Zambia genome assembly, scaffold: SMRZ_scaffold0000246